UUUUCUUUGUUAUUAAAUUUUACUUAGGACAAAGCUAUUUUGGGUUAUCUCUUAGAAUUUUUCUUUAGUAGUUUUCUUGUGUAGUUUUCAUUGGUUCAGUAUUUUGUGUUCUUUGUGAAUUGCAUUUUACUUUUUUGAUUUUGUUUGUGAGUGUUAGAAAUUGCUUGCUAGUAUGUUUGUGUAUGCGAAUACUAUGUUUUACUAUAUAGAUUUUCAUCGGAGAGUUGUGUAUAGUGCUAUCAAGUUUUGCGAGAGCGAUAUUAUCUUCAUCAAGUAAUACCAGGCAAGUUCACUUUGACCAUGUUUUUCAUACCUAUGUUUUAUUUGCAUGUAGUAGCACCUUUUCAAUAAUCCCGCCAGUAGUGAUAUUAAUUUCUUGUAGUUGAGUAGAAUGCAUGAGGUAGGAACCCAUCUCCCUGUUAUCAAGCCCGGGACGUUAUAUAGUUUUAAUGUUACGCUAUAGUAGACGGGGGUUGGUAUGAGUGCAUGAAAGUGGUGUGAAGAAGGAGGACUCUACGUCAAUGGAGACAACUUCAUGAUGGCAUCGGCAAGGACUGCAUCUUCUGGACUUCUCAAGAUUUCGAGACUCGAGACAAGAAUUCAAUACACACUACUGGGUGAAGGACGGUUGAUGGGCACCCUGGAGAAACCAGUGGUUGGUCGGGAUGCAUGGAGAAGCGCCAUGACAUCUUGCGGAAAGCUUCACCCAGACUCAAAGAGACGGAAGAAUACUUCAUGCCCGGAAGCUUUCCUGUGCAACCACAAGUCACUAUGGGCUCUGGCUUGGUUGACCUUAGUGGUGACUCUGGCUGGGACGGUGCUAGCAGAUGUAGAACUACGGUAGGAUUGGAUGAGCACCGGACAGUGGUCAGAGGAACUCUUCGGAAGACCAUGUUUCGGUCAUCUUAUUCUCAAACACCCUGAAGUGCGAGAAUGUAAAGAGAGGGAUCGAAUCUUGCGGGUAAAGUGUACAAACCUCUGCAGAGGGUUAAAACCUAAUCGAUUAGCUGUGUCCCCGAUUAUGGACAAUUUGAGCCUCUGGACUUGGAUCUAUCUCGGAACUCUCAACACCGAACUGAUAAAUUAAUUGUGGGCAACUUAUGAUGAUUUGGGCUAUGAGACAUCGGUUGGCGGAACCAUGUCAUGAUAGAAAACUCUGUAGUACAGACCCCGGAUAAUUCCUUUGAUGUAGGGAAAAUAAAACCAGCUUUUAUGCAAACAAAACUCAGAUACAGAGCCACAGAGCCAUAUUGCAUAUAGUAUAGUUUAUCAUCUGUUUUUCUUACAUUGAUCUUGCCGGUACAUUCAAUGUACUGACCUACACGGCUGCAACGUCUCAUGUUGCAGAUAUGUUUCUUCCGAUGAGUAAGAGUUACGUCAUAGGGUUACGGUCUACACUCAACCUUCCGAUGGCGUUGAUGGGACUCCACAUCCGAUUGUUUGUUUCCGCUGAGACUUAUGAGGUAUAUAUCAGUUUUAUGUUAUUUAUACAUGUGAUUGCACUUUGAUAUAUACAUUGAUGUACUGUGUGUGCCAGCAUACCGAUCCAGGGAUGGCACAGAUACACAGAGGCUUGACCGUCUGAGGUCGGGUCGCUACAGACAUGGUAUCAGAGCACAUGUUGACUAUAGGACGUGACCCUAGAAAUUAGAAAGCCCUAGGACAGGAAAUCUCUAAAACUUUAUUUUCAAAAGAAUCUAUUACUUCUGAUCUUUUUUGAUUUUAUCAAAUAACCUCUCUUACUUCAAAUAGUUAGAAUAUACCCCUUUCCUUUUGACCACAUGGAGGAUCAACUAAAGCCGCUCCAAGAAGGACAAGAUAUCGGACAACCGAUGACCAUUUCGGAGUAAAGAGGAUUUCACCAUGCAUUAGAAGAGUUAAAGCUACAACAGUUGAAGACUCCGAAGACUUGAAGAAUCUGACGAAUUAUUUGACCUUUAGAAGACCAAACCCAUGUUAUAUACUUACGUUAGAUGCGGCGAUUUGUGAGUUGUCAUUUGUUUGAUGUUUUUCCGACAACCACAAAAUAAAACUCAUUUCUUCAAAACUAUUGUUUGUAUUGUGUAUAUUCCUCCCCACCUCUCUCUUAUCUCACCCUAAAACCCUUGGACCCAGUAGAUGAUGAAUGAAGUUGGACUGGUAUUCUCUGGACCGAAAACCCAGCCGGAGGCAGAGCUAUGGAUUCAGAACAUGGAGAAUCACUUCAGGAGCAAUUUGGUUUCAAGGAAGAAUGAAGUAUUGUACGCUCUUUAGUACUUUGAAGGAAAUGCUGCAACAUGGUGGCAGAUGCAUCAAGCUAUACAGGGAUGGAAUGGAGCAAGUACCUGGGAAGAAUUCAAGAAGACUCUAACAAGAUCUCGUCUUAUCCGGAAGCACCAUGAUAUCCCAAGAAAUAAACCUUGUGCCUGCAAGAUUUGCGGAGAAAUAGGACACACCCAGGAGGAACACAAGGAUGGAUGCCCUCAUUGUGAGGAGAAACACCCAGCUGAGGAAUGCCCAACUAGUCAGGUGACUUGUUUCUUGUGUGAAGGAACCACCCACUACCCAGCUCAGCGUCACAUUUACACCAUGGUGCAACAAAUUAUUCAGAGGCAAGAAGAAGGAAUGACAGAAGCUUUCCGAGAAGUUAUGAAAGAACCUGUGAUUAAGGAAAGUGUUGAAGACCCUGAUGGAGAAAGCCUCAAUAGAUUUUACUCCAAUGCCUGUUAUUCAUGUGGAGAAGAAGGAAAUUUUUCACAGUAUUGCACCAAGGAAAGAAAAGAGUAUCUGGGAUACUUCCCGACAGAAGCAGUGGAGUUUGAUCCAUGGGGAAUAGAACGUUUGAUCAGAACGAAGAAAACCAGGAAGAGAAAACAAAGACACCCUCAGAACAACCCAAUUUCUGCAAAGAGGGACAAGAGUCAUAUUACCUGUUUUGAAUGUAAUGACGUCGGGCAUUAUGCCAAUGAUUGUCUCGAAAGGAAGCAAGGAACUCAAGGAGUAGGCACCAUCACCAAGAAGCCUCGAGACAUGCCGGAAGUUAUUUGUUUUCGUUGCAAGGAAGCAGGACAUUUUGCUAGGGAUUGUUCAAAUCAUGAGAAAGCUGGAGCUGAGUAGUGGAGAUGUUGAUAUCAGUAAUAAGGGUAGUAAGGAAAACACUUUUUCAUGAGAAUGCGGGGUUGAGUUAUGUAAUAGAUUACUCAGAGAUUGUAAUAAUUCAUGACUCAAUAAAGUUGAUAUGUCAUAUGCUGAAAGGCUUUAAGGAGUUGUUAUAUUUUAUCUUGGAAAUUAAUAUUCUGGGUGAACAUGGAAGAAAAUGAGUUGUGAUGCAUAAACUGGAUGUUGGAAAUUGAGUUUGAAGUUUUGUUUGGAUGAUAUGAAUGUGUACCCAAGGAGAUAUGUACCUUAUUCUGAGCACCAUUUUUGUUUUACAACUGCAGAUGACGACCCUUUAUGAGUCUUUCCUUAAAGGUCCGGAAACGAUCAUGACACUGACAAGUGAUCAUGAUUACCCGAAGAUCCUGAAGGACAUGAUGAAGCAUAUUCACCUUGAAGGAGAUGCAGUCUACAAAGGCUACCCCUUCAUGCAAAAGGGAGUGGAACUUUGGUAUGUGGAGGUACACCUCCACCGUAUGAAAGGAGUUUGCCCAAAGAUGAUGGGACAGUACUUUUUCAUCUCACGUGUACCACAAGCAACUUUCUUCGACGCUGUUCGUGAAGCAGCCAUGGAAGCCAUACGCCAGAUCGGAUAAAUACUUGAAGCAAGACUCCGUUAUACUCAGGAAUACCUAAGAGAAGUGCAUGCAGAGAUGAUGGAAAUGAAGCUCAAGGCCACCACGAUGAAACAGAAGAUUGAAGAUUUCAAGGCGCAUGUUGCACAAUUCCAGUGGGACUGAAGAAUCCUCAAGGAGGAAAAAUGAAUAAAGUAGGAAGUAAUGCAUGACCAUACCAAACCAUGUGGGUGGCAGCAUUUGUAACAAAGUAGUUUUUGGAAUUUGGAUUUACGAAAAAUGGUUAAGGAUGUAAUAAAAGAUUUGAUAUGAAAAUAAUAUGAUUUAUGGAUAAACUAGUGCAUUUUUUGGUGUGGUAGUACUCCGUAAAGCCACAAGAUCAAUGAAGAAAGAAAUGUGUUAUUCAUGACGGUCCAUAGAAGGGAGCGGGACCAAAUAAGUUGGAGUUUUGUAUGAUCGUCACCACAAGGGUAUGAAGGAAGAAGUACUAUUGGAUUUAAAGGAGAUGUAAUGUUGGAAUACGGAAUGAUAAUCCUCGAAAGGAUGAGUUCAAUUUUACAAGAGUUGAGGUGGGCCAUAACCCACAGGCCCCGGAGUUAAUAAGAAGCAAGCACACUCUUGCUGAAGGAAGAUAUUUUGGAAGAAAACUCUGAGUUAAUCAACCGACAUUCUUAGGAGGAUACGAAAACCCGAGAGAUGUGAAGAACCAUUAGAUGUCUUGUUCAGCUUGCAGAAACAAUGGAUUUAUUCGAACUCAGUUUGUCGACAAGAGAAAUUCUGCAAUGCUUGUGAGUAUGCCCAAGUGUUAGAAUACGUGAUUCGAUGUCUGCAUAUGUAGUAAUGGUUCAAGUACGGGAUGGAUUGGCCCCCAUACCGGAGACUUCUAUCAUGAACUAUCAUAUGUUGAUGGAAAAUCAGAGAGCCUUGAAAACCUUAGAAGAGUGUCGACACGUCAAGCCAUAAAACCAUAGAAUGGUAGGAUGAUUGAUCCAUGUACCAGGCACCCGUUGCCAAUUGUAGGAUAGACGGUGAGAUUAAACCAAACCCAUUUUUCUGUAGUAGAAACCAUACAUGGUUGACCACCAUGAGAAUUUCGAUAGUUAUUUAGUAUUGGCGACAGACCAGUCAGCUAAGAAGACCCAGACUCGGAAGAACGUCACCAGGAUGAAAGGACACGUGUUUGAGGAAAAGGUUAUGCCCUGACCGGAGCAGCACCCGUGAAAGAGCUAUUCCGGAGUAUAUGAGAACACCGCACCAGCAACCCAACAGGAUGGAGUACAUGAGUUUUGUCUGAACCAUACCCAUGCUUUUAAGUGUGGUAGCACACUAGACCCUUCCGACCAAAAUAUUUGCUAGAAGACCCUCAACCCCUAACCUUUUCUUGCUAGCCUCUUCGAAUCUCGAGGACGAGAUUCAUUUUAAGUGUGGUAGGUUUGUAACAUCCCAAAAUUCUAAAUUUUGGAAUGUUAUAUUAAAUAAAUCACUUUGAUUAAUUGUUUGAUUGUGAGUGAUUGAUUGUGUGAAAUUGAGUGAAAUUGGAAACUUUUUGAAAGUUGAAUGAGAGGGAAUGAAAUGACUUCCCAAACUUUCAUCCUUGCAUUUGAUCUCAAUGAAAUUCAAAUUUAUUUCAUCACCACAACCCUAGAGUGAAGAAAAUAUGACUUCUUCCAGAAACAAAAAGGGUUUCGAAAUAUUUUUCAAUUUCAUUUUAAAGGUAUUUCAAAUUUAUAAACUUUAUACAACUCAAUGAUUUUCAUGAGAGAAGAUAAAAUGACUUCUUCAAAACAUAUGAAAUAUGAGUUGGAAGUAUGAAGAAAGAUUUGAAGAUGGUUUGAAUUUUUUUUUAAAUUCAAAACCAUUUGGAGUUAUUUGGUUUUAUUUCAAAUUAUUUUCUCCAAAAUUAAAAUAUAUAGAAAAUAGGGUAAAAUGAUUCCCUACAUUAGAAAAAUGGAGAAAAUUAAGUUUGAAAUAAUUUUGUUAUUUUAAAGUAGUUUUAUUUUGAAUUUUAAUUGCAUUAGAAGUACUUUUUUAUUUAUAAGAAUUUUUGUGUAUUUUAUUACACUUUGUAAAAAUGUUCAUGUUGUAGGAUUUAUUUUUGCAGUCAUUUUGAUAUAUUAUAUGCCUAUAUACAUUUAUUAUUUAAUUUGUUUAUUUCUUUCUUUUUGUUUUGUGUUUUAAAAAGAAUAGGAAAAACCUUUAAAAAACGACUGAAGACCCCAGGCCCAGCUACCUCUCUCUCUCCCGCGGCCCACCAGACGGGCAGGCCCAGUCGCGCGCAACCGCGACCGAAUCCCGUAGGAUUCGCCCGCCCGAUCCCUCUUUCCUUUCCCCUCCUCUCUCUGCGCGUGGGACCCACCGACCGCUCGCGCGUCUCGCUCGAUCACCUUCCUCCUCCCCGCGCCCCUUUCCUUCUCGCCGGCGACCGGAUCCGCCGCUGCUCCCCUUUCCUUCUGGAGCUUCCCUCUUCUCCAAGUACCCUCCCCUAUAAAUGCCCCUUUUCCCCUCGACCCAUUCCGCCCCUCCCCGGCCCCUGAACCCCUCUCCCUUGCCGCCUGUCGCUCGCCGGAGUAGAGCGCCGCCGCUGCGCCAUUGCCGCCCUACCGCAUCACCCCGACCACCCCACCCAUCCCCGAGACCACCCCGACCUCCCCUUGCUCCCCCGCAUCGCCUGAACACCACCAUCGCCGCCUACAACCACCAGGAUCAUCGCCCCCUUCAUCACCGAGCAUCACCGCCGCCGUCGAUCUUGCCCUGCUCGACUACGUUGUCCCCAAGCUCGCCGCCUACCACCCCCGUGAUCGCCGUCGUCCUCUACGUCACCUGGUGCUGUCGCCGUCGCCGGAGGAUCACCGGAGCCGCCACACCGUCGACGCCGGAAGCUGCCGACCACGCCCGAGCUCCCCUGCCCUCACUGUAAGCACCAGGAACACCCUCAGCCGUCGGGUCUGUAGUCAACGCAUUAGAUUAGAUUAGAUCGAACAGUUUGGUUUAUUUUGUUAGAUCGGUUUAGUUCCAGUUUGUUUCAGUUUUUAUUCGGUUUAGAUCGAUUCAGGUUUAGUCGGUUUAGCCGAUCGGUUUACUCAGUUUAGCCGUAGACCUAUAUUAGCCUAUUAAACGCAUGCGCGCUGUUUAGUUCCAGAUCGCACCUAAUAAAGCUCGGUAGCGCCCGUUAGUUUUUUUUUUGUUAUUUCCGUUUCUGUUUUAAAAUCAGAAUAGUUCUGAAUUUAUAUUGCUUAUAACUUUUAUGUUUUAGAUCCAAAUUGAGUGAUUCUUUUUGCAUUGGAUUCAAAAUUUCUUGAAGUUUCUGUUUGUGUCCUUAGAUAUAAAGUUUGAGUAGUUUAAAUUUUGAGUUUGAGGGAAUUUGUUCAAAUCACUAAUUUGGCCGUAUCUUGAGUUUUAUAAAAUAUUUUUGAUUGAUUCUUUUGCUACGGUUUUGUUAUUGAUUUGUCUAUCCAGAGUAAUAUAGUGAUUUAUUUUUAGUUUAUUUUAAACUAAGUUUUUAGCAAAACAGUAUUGUUUUAGUUAUAGUUUUGUUUUAGUCUUUUCUUUAUUGUUUUUAUUAGUUUUAAAUUAUUUCUUUUUGUCACUCUUGAAAACUUUAGUUUUGUUUCUGUUAGUCAACAAAAGAAAAUCUUAUUUUUAUUUUUAGAACUUAUUUUACUUAGUUUUGUAUGAAAACUUGUUUAGGUCAUAGUUAGUGUUUCAUAAAAGCUUUUUAUUUCUUUCUUUUUGCUAUUAAAAGUUUAUGAAAAAUACUUUCUGUUAAAAUUGGUUGUUUUAUAUUUUCUUUUCUGUUUAUUUUUUUAUAUCGGUAUUUUCUUUGUUGUUAAAUUUUACUUAGGACAAAGCUAUUUUGGGUUAUGUCUUAGAAUUUUUCUUUAGUAGUUUUCAUUGGUUCAGUAUUUUGUGUUCUUUGUGAAUUGCAUUUUAUUUUUUUGAUUUUGUUUGUGAGUGUUAGAAAUUGCUUGCUAGUAUGUUUGCUUAUGCGAAUACUAUGUUUUACUAUAUAGAUUUUCAUCGGAGAGUUGUGUAUAGUGCUAUCAAGUUUUGUGAGAGCGAUAUUAUCUUCAUCAAGUAAUACCAGGCAAGUUCACUUUGACCAUGUUUUUCAUACCUAUGUUUUAUUUGCAUGUAGUAGCACCUUUUCAAUAAUCCCGCCAGUAGUGAUAUUGAUUUCUUGUAGUUGAGUAGAAUGCAUGAGGUAGGAACCCAUCUCCCUGUUAUCAAGCCCGG
rnacentral:lncRNA from 1 species